AGUAUUUGAAAAGUUUUUUUGUCAAUAAUGGCAUAUGUACGUGAAAUAUAUUGCUGCGUUGCGAUUCUUUUUUGGAAUUAAGAUUGAAUUGAACAAAUAUUUAAGGCUGGAUUUCAAACUUCAGAAAAAGACAUGAUCUGAAUGUUUUAAAAGUGUGCGGCCAAAAACUUUUCAAUAAUCAAAAUGCCGUCGAUCCUUUCCUAACUGUAUUCGCAGAAAAUUGUUCUCUAUUGGAAACUACUAACUACAAAGCUGUUGGUUCGAUCUCAGGAGAAGACUGCACCAGAUCGAGAAAUAAGCAAAGAGCGCGUUACCUUUCUAGAAUGUUGCAAUGAUGAUGGACACUGUUGAUAGGAUAGACAAAAAAAUCCUGUUGAAUAUAAGUAAUCUGCCAAUGCAUGGACGAUUACAGCAACUUUCUUAGACUGGUUUCAUGGAUCUUUUAUUCGUCAAAUUAAAAGACAUUUAAGAAGUCUUAAUUUGCCUGAAAGUGCUGUGCUAAUCAUCGAUCACGCCUCAAGCCAUGGAACUGUAGAUGAGCUGACUAGUGAGGAUGGACAAUUUACAACACUAUUUCUUCCAUCAAAUUGUACUGCGCUUUUACAGCCUAUGGACCAAAAUGCCUUUAGACUGACAACAUUAUUUUAUCAGAAAAGUCUCUUAGCCCAUAUUUUAUCUAAUAACGAAGAAAACGUUGUUAACUAGAAUGAAUCAGCAAAGAUAUAAAAUAAAAUAACAAUGCAGAAGUAAUAACAUAUCACUUCCACUUUAAGAAGCUUUAUGUAAAUACUGUUUUUUAGUUGUUUUGCAUUAAAUGUUUCGCUUCAGUAA